CCGCGCCCGAGGAGGACCGCCGAGGCCGGGCGGCCGGGCAUGCGCCGCGCCGGGAUGCACGGGUGCUGGGGCCAGACCGCGCCCGCCCCUGCGCCGGAUCCGAGGCCGAGGCCGCGCCCUUGCCUGGAGGACCGCCGAGGAGCCAGCCGUGGAGCCGCGCCCGAGGAGGAACGCCAAGGCCGGGCGGCCGGGCACGCGCCGCGCCGGGAUGCACGGGUGCUGGGGCCAGACCGCGCCCGCCCCUGCGCCGGAUCCGAGGCCGCGCCCUUGCCUGGAGGACCGCCGAGGAGCCAGCCAUGGAGCCGCGCCCGAGGAG
rnacentral:misc_RNA from 1 species